rnacentral:pre_miRNA from 3 species
AGUAGAAUUGCUGGGUCAUAUGAUAGAUUUAUGUUUAACUUUUUAAGAAACUGCCAAACUAUUUUCCAAAGUGGCUCUACCAUUUUACAUCCCACUAGCAAU